CCAGGGGGCGGCUAGUAGCGUGUGCCACCAUGGAAAUAUGUACAGACAUAAAGAAGACGCCCUCAAGAAAGACUACCCCAUCCCCUGCCUCCCGCUGUGCCCCACCCAGACACCACGGCCCAGCAGUGACGCCAUUCCACCUGCUACACGACGCUGGCUGACGCACUCCAGACGUGGCAGCAACAGGAGGUGGAGGGCAGGAGCAAGAGUCGGAUGGAUGGCGAAGGAAGGCAUGAUGGCGGAGCUGGUGGCUUUGGAGGGUGUUCGUGCAGGGUACCUCGGCAGGGUCUAGAUUAGAGCAAAUGGAUGAUGAGAGACUAGUAAGGUGUUUGUGUGGAAUAUUAGGAGUAGCAGUUGGGGGAACAAGUGUGUUAGGAUGGUAAUAAAGAAUGGCUUGGAAACUAGUUGUUGGGCUUUUGAGGGGUUGAGUGAAGCCUUGUUGAGAGUGAUGGAAGUAGGAUUGUCAGAAAUGGAGAGGGCUUACAAUGUUAUGUAACUAAGUGGACAAGUGAGAUAGACAGAGUGAUCAAGCACAUGGGACUGAGUGAGCCAAGUGUGGAAAUUCUGGGAUGGAGUGAGCCAGGUGUGGAAAAGUGUGGAAAUUGUGGGAUUGAGUGAGCCAUGUGUGGAAAUUGUGUAGAAAAGUGUGGAAAUAGUGUGGAGAAGGUGUGGAAAAAAUGUGGAAAUUGUGGGGUUGAGUGAGCCAGGUGUGGACAAGUGAGAUAGACAGAGCGAUGAAGCAUGUGGGGUUGAGUGAGCCAGGUGUGUGCGUCACUUGGGGAUGACUGUGAGCUAACCUGGGACCAAUGGUUGAUGACGCUCACUGAUGGAAUUAGAAGCUGCAUGAAUUGUUUAUGUAGAUUUUAGAAGCUGUCUCAAUUGUUUGUGUAGAUCUGAAGCACUUACUUUGAAUUGAAGGCUUGGACCAUGUAAUAUCUUUGUAAUUCUUCUGUAUCUCUGUCAUAAGUUCCUUAGAUAACUCACUACUGUUUUUGUCUCUAUAUAAUAAUAUGUACAUUUACUCAAACUGCAUUUCCUUUCAGUGUGCAGGUUGGCAGUAAACCUCCCUGAAGGUUCCAGAACUGCUCACCAAGUGUCCAGCCCAGCCUGUCACAAGACUAUGUGACAGUGGACCUUCCACUCAUACUGAAAACAGCUGUGCACUGCCACUCACAGGAAGUGGUGACCACUCUAGAUUGAGUUGUCUUGAAGCUGAGAUGAGUUGGUCGGGUAAUGAGUGACUUGCAUCAAGUGACCGUGAGGUGUUGGACGUGAUAUUGUGUUAUUGCAAGUGUAACCAGUAAUAAGUAAGUCCUUUCUUUAAAACUCUUCAUACAUGGAUUUGUCAUACAUGGAUGGAUAAGGCCCUUGUACAGAGUCAGCAGCUGAGGGGGGGGUGAGAAAAACUGGCAGACAUCUCAGAAUACCUAACUUCAUAGAAGCUGUUUUAGCUAGAGAUGAGAUAUGAAAUUUCCAGUUUCCAGACUGAGGAGGUUCAGUGUAGAAGAGGGGAUACUUGUUGUCUGGAAGGUUGUGUUGAGUUGAUAGAUGGAGGAAUUGAGUUUUUGAGGCAUUGAACAAUACCAGGUUUGCUCUGCCCCAGUCAGAAAUUUUAGAGAGAGAUUACAAGUGAGGUAUUCUGUGGCUUCCCUGUGUGAACUGUUUGCCUCCCGAAAGGUUGGAUGUCCAUGAAAAGACCUGGAAAAAUGCUGGUUAGUAUAAUCAGUGUAGGAUUGGAUAGGACAACAAGUUUGGUUUAGAAGAUCAUUGAUGAAUAUAGGAAGAGAGUGAAUGACGAUAGAAUCCUGAGGAACACCACUGUUAACAGAUUUAGGAGAAGAACAGUGACCGUCUACCACAGCAGCAAUAGAAUGGUCAGAAAGGAAACUUGAGAUGAAGUUACACAGAGAAGGAAAGAAGCUGUAGGAGGGUAGUUUGGAAAUGCAAGCUUUGUGCCAGACUAUCAGAAGCUUUUCAUAUAUCCAAGGCAACAGCAAAAGUUUCACCAAAAUCUCUAAAAGAGUAUGAUGACCAAGACUCAGUAAGGAAAGCCAGAUGACCAGUGGAGCAGCCUUGAUGGACCCUAAUACUGGCGAUCAGAUACAAGUAGGCUGUGAAGUAAUAGAUGUUUAAGAAUAUUCCUAUUAAGGGUAGAUUAAAAACUUUAGAUAGGCAGGAAAUUAAAGCAAUGGGACUGUUGUUUGAGAAAUUAAAACUACUACUACUGCUACUACUACUACUACUACUACUACUGCUACUACUACUGCUACUGCUACUACUACUACUGCUACUACUGGAUGGUAUAUCAGUUCACACAGCAAGAAGCCAAGGACCCACCGAGGCUGUCACUUGGAAGAGGUCAUUGUUGUUGCAUCCAGCAUCCCAGCCUGACUGCCUAGACAGGUCCCGCAGGUUGCUGAAUGGCAGAGAUGCAGGCUGCUCCACAGCAAGAUCAGCGUUCGACCGUUUCUCUACGGGCAAGCGACACCUCCUGGUGGGGGACUUCAAAUCUGCUGUCGCUGCCUUCAAGGUGUGUCUGUUGCUUAGGUGUGGAGGCAACAGAGUCCCUGGUGGAGCUGUGUGGGGAGCAGGCGCCCGAGUGUGGUGACGCGUACUGCCGCUGUGGCCGUGCAUUGCUGGAGCUGGCACGCAAGGAGGCAGGGGUGCUGGGGCCAGAUCUGGAUGGUGCCAGUAGUCAGGAGGGAAGCACAGGGGAAGAGGAGGACGAGGAGGAAGAGAGUUAAGAGUCACAAGAGGAGGAGGAAGGUGGAAAGAAAGAGGAAGGAGAGGAGGAGGAGGAGGAGGAGGAAGAUGGAGAAGGAAAGGAGAAAGAUAAGAAGGAAGGAAAUGCCGCAGAAGGAGAAGAGCAAUAAGAAAUUAGAAUUGACAGAGAAACCAGACAAGGGACUGCAUUUGAAGAAGCACAAGAACCAAGAAAUUACAUCAUUCAAUGAAAUGACAACAUAAUCUAAAGUACAGAUACCAAGGGGAAAUUGCUGGGUCAAGUGGCUACACUGACAUCUGAGGUUAGCAGGUUGGAGAGUGAGUGCAGCAGUCUUCAGGUUCAGCUAGACUGUGAGAGGGAUAAGUAUAACAAACUGCUGGGAGAAUCUCUUGCUCAUGAAAAGUUGUCUGAAGAUGUCAUAACUGAACCAAAAGGAGAAACAACAGGAUUGGGAGGAACUGAGCUUUAACAGAAGCUGCAACAACUGCAGGAGGCUCACAGGGUCCUGGAGAGCAGGUUAACUUGCAGCAUGAAGGAGGUGGCUGAGCUAAGUGACAGGAAGUAGCAGCUUGAGCAUGCUGUAGUGCAUGAGAAGACAGAGUCCAUCGGUGUGUGCAUGUUUUUUGCUCAUUUGAAUCAUCUGUAAAAGUGAAGUGGAGGAAGUGUUUACUGUUUACUGUAUGCCAUUUCCUUGGUCUUUUAAUGAAGAAUUUUAUCCUUCUUCAGGUGACUACAUCACCAUCUACCAGUUGCAGCGAGGAGUGAUGAAGUAACAAGCUCGAGAACGCGAGUUAGACCUUGCCAGCCUCCAUCAUGAAUGAGAGGAAAUGAAGCAAAACCACUCUGCAGGAUUUGAUAUCAAAGCUGGUGCAGGAAAAGGAAGCAGAUCAUGACCUUCAGCAGCUCGAGAAGAUAAGCAGCGUCCUUAAGAGUCCAGUUGCUAUCUUUAGCAGUGUUGGAACCAGUGAGUCUGAGACACCCACCACCAGUGGAAAGGUGGCUGACGAGCGCCUCAAGCACUCUGAAAAGGUGGAGCAACAACAAGAAACAGAAAAUUGCAUCCAUCAUUCUUUGCCUGAGGAGGGAAUUGAUGCUCUGUUGACCCUUCACACUGAUGUCCCUCAUGAGGAGGGGAGAAUAUGAAUCCUACAGAACUUGCCCAUAGGAAGACCAAAACUGUUACUGCUGCCACACUGCCACCACUUCCACUGACACCAAAAGCCCAACUGUGCAGAGAAUCCUGGACCUCCGCAAUGAAAUGGAGUCCACCAGUCACCUGGAGCACUUUAGCCUCCAAAAGUUCCAUCCGUGUCCAUUGUGUUUGGGUAAACUUAUCACUGUAUAAGGGGACAAGUAUCAGUGUAUGGUUACUAUAUACUCAUUUGUACUUAAAGAUGUCAUGUCACAUCAUUCUCUCUCUCUCUCUCUCUCUCUCUCUCUCUCUCUCUCUCUCUCUCUCUCUCUCUCUCUCUCUCUCUCUCUCUCUCUCUCUCUCUCUCUCUCUCUUUCUUUCUUUCUUUCUUUCUUUCUUUCUUUCUUUCUUUCUUUUGUUGCAUAUGUUACUGCUUUACAUUCCUCCCCACAGUAUUUUUUCAUCUACUUUAUGACUGCAGUAGUUUUAUCAUCCCAGUGUAUGCUGUAUCCACUCUGAAACUGUAAUUCACCAAUCAGCUCAAAUGUGUCUCUGUUUUGAUAAUCAUUAAUUUGUUUCAGCUACACAACCACUCUGAUAAGGGACAAAAUCUACUUCACCAGUCAUCUAUGUCAUACAGUCAUAUAUAUUCAUACAUAUGACAAAAUACUCUUCCUAAGACAUUUCUUAUUUUCUCUUCUCAAGUGACCUGUCCAUCUAUCUAAGGUACCACAUAACAUUUAAAACUUACAAUAUUGUGUUUAAUUCAUGAACACUUUUUUGUCUAUCUAUGGAGACUUGCGUAUAGACUUGAAAUGUAUUGGGAGUUUUCUUUAUCUCUCAUUCUAUACCUAACACCUGUUCCUAAGAAUCCCCAGGUGAUAGCCAUGGUGACUGGCUGGUCUCCUACUGAGUGGCUGGGGUUUUCCAAAAGUGAGGGUUGGUGUUCCAUACCAUACCAUGUGCCCUGUUUGUAUUCCUUCUUUGUCCUCUGUAUUAUAUUCUAUGUAAAGAUGGUGCUGGGGUGGGAUCUACUUCUUAUUCCCUAAAAGUGAUGAGGAGUGACACUGGGCAGCAUUGAUUUGCUCCUUAGAGAUGGCUGGGUUCCUGUGGAUGAGUGGGCCAUGCUGUGCUUUGUCAAGGAUGGUGUUUGGUAUUGUGAUGACUCUUGCCACAAUCAAGUGCCUCCCACAGAGUAGUGGAGUACCUAUGUAUGGUGUUGACCCAAGCUGUCCAGGUCUCAUCCAAUGCCUUAAUAUGAUUUAGAUGAUCAAAAUGGUUUAACUCACCAUUUAAUCAGCUGACUGAUUUGAAUGGAGAAGUAUGUAAUGUGUUGUAGCCUAACCAUCCCUGCCAGCAUGGUCAGAUUCUUGGUAGUAACCUGAAAUGCUCCUAGGUAGUGAGUAUCAUUGCACAUAAUGAUCUUUACUUUGUCAGUAAUUCAAUGAUACUGAAUAUUACUCUACUGGAUUUUGCUCAGCACUGCUUGGUAACUUUUGGCCAUAAUCCCAGGUCUGGAAUGAUAUGAAGCCAUGUUUUUACAUUCCAUAUGAGACAGGCAAGCACUAUGCUUUGCCUGACUGAUACCUGUACUAUACAUUUAUGACCCCAGGUAGUUCAUCACUCUCUCUCUCUCUCUCUUCUCUCUCUCUCUCUCUCUCUGUUUGGAAUUAUACUGUAUAUUAGGAAAUAUCAUUAAAGAGUGUGUGUGUAAAAAGUGUUUGCAUUAUUGUGCAUUUGAUGUUAUAGCCCCAGGUUCUUAAAGUUUUCUAGUUUCAUGAUUUAUAAAGAUUGCUAUUUUUAAUAAAGUUAUUGAAAUUGUUA